AUACGGAGGGAGCUAGCGUUGUUCGGAAUUACUGGGCGUAAAGCGCACGUAGGCGGAUUGGUCAGUUGGAGGUGAAAUCCCAGGGCUCAACCCUGGAACUGCCUUCAAUACUGCCAGUCUAGAGAUCGGAAGAGGUGAGUGGAAUUCCUAGUGUAGAGGUGAAAUUCGUAGACAUUAGGAGGAACACCAGUGGCGAAGGCGGCUCACUGGUCCGAUUCUGACGCUGAGGUGCGAAAGCGUGGGGAGCAAACAGGAUUAGAAACCCCAGUAGUCC
rnacentral:rRNA from 1 species